GAGAGCGGCGGCAGCGAGAGGCGAGCCAGCGGCGACGAAUGAAGAACUUUUUCACUUACUGCAGGAUUUUCAGCUUCAGCAAGCAGGCUUUGGUAUCAGGAUGAUGCUGGCCUCAUAAAAGGAGUUAAAGAGGAUUCCCUCUUUUUCUAUUGAUUGGAAUAGCUUCAGAAGGAAUGGUACCAGCUCCUCCUUGUACCUCUGGUAGAAUUUGGCUGUGAAUGCAUCUGGUCCUGGACUUUUUUUUGGUUCUCAUGGAGAACUGUUAUUGAAGAGAGAUCCAUUUGGUGGGAUAUAAUUAAAAAAAAUGAAUCAAAAGAAAAUCUCUAAAUGCAGAUUCCAGAAAAAUUACAGCACAUCUCAGUGAAUUUGCAAGUGUUUCUCUUCAGCCAUAAGCCACGCCUGGUAGAUAUUAAUUGAGUGGAGAGAUCUUGCACCUCUUCCAGUUAUGCAUUUGUGGUUUGUCGUCUGAUUUGGAGCACUUG
rnacentral:lncRNA from 1 species